UCAAAGUUAAUUUUCGCUAACAGAAAGAGAUUUAUUACGCAAGAAUAGAUUGAAGUUAUCUAAUAAAACUUAACGAACUCGGUUCGUGUCUUUCUACAAUCAAUAUAAAGAUAAAUAAUUACAAAUUUACAACAAACUUCGUAUACAAAUUUCUAUUUAUCUUUUUCAUUUCGUACAAACGACACAUUUUAGAUUCAUCUAAAGAUCGUGUCGUCUACCGUCAAACACCGGGAAGACCGGUUGUACGAAGGAAAUGUCGCUAACUUAUGCACCUAAUUAACUAAAUUUACUUUUUUAGUUAAUUUAAUGAAGUAGCCUUUCGCGCCUUCUUUGUCUACGAAGAAGCGCGAUUAAAAAGUAACAAAUGGUUCGGCUUCCCCUUAAAGUGCGCGGCAUUGGCAGAGAAAAGAACAUUCGGAAGACGGUAUUCUCCAGUCUAGAUCGUUUCAAACAUAGACGUACCGGAGAAAAGGUAAAAGAAACAUACGGGUAUUGGAGAAAUGCAUAAAAACGAUUCCUAAAAGGAAAAAUGCUAUUAACAAAAUAGUGAAAUUAUGUGGAGAAAAGUUGGCAGCAUCGGCAUCAAAUUCAAUCGAAAAACGAGAGAAGGAAAAGAAGGGAAGCUGGAGUCCGAAUCGAGUAGUUUAACCAAGACGUUUGUGUGUCUCCGAAGGAUAAACACGAGAGGACGAUAAAUUCGAUUGGUCCGUUGAAAAACCUCGGGAUAACGAGCAAAGAACCCGGAACGAGGUUCGCUAUUCUUUCCGGGUCGUUUCUGUUUCGUGUCCGUGGCUCUGGCAGCCUCCAGAAUUUACCACCGCGCGUUUUAAUAAAUAGACGAGCGCCGAGAACUUACUUUGCUAUAGAACGAACUAUUUUUAUUUUCUUCUGUUGCGGCAUCUUUUAAAAAUUAAUUUAAAUAAUAGACUUAUAACAUUAAUUUACACCGGCGGUAACAGCUGCUAAAUAUCGUUUUCCUCGUGUGCCACUCGACUAUGAAAAUCCAAGGGAUUGAUGCCGUAGAAGAUAAAAGAAACGGUCGAGGUAACUAAGAGAGGAGUUUAUUCUGUUCCAGAUCUACGGUUAUGUCGCGUUCCCCCCCCCCCAAGAAAAACGAACAGACCAACUCUCUUCCUGCGAAUUUUGUCUUAUAGUUAAGUAAUUAAGAAUUCUGCAGUUGAUGUGACGAAAUAUUCGGAAAAGAAUCUACUCGACGGGUGAAGAGGACGGAAACGUUUUCCCAAUAAAGGAAGGAAGAGGAGAAAAAUUCGAGUGCACUCGAAAGUUUGUCGAGAACUUACCCUUUAUACAUAAACGAUAAAUUAGUCAUUCCGGAAGAGAAAAUAGACAAUUUGUUUCCUAGAUCGACCGAUUAAUUAAAGAGUAAGCACUCGUGUUGAAAAUAGAUGAAAUGGCAAACGAGAGAUGCUCUAACGAGUCUAACCUGCACUGAAUCGUAUAUAACGUCCAUCAGAUUCAUUUCAAAUUUCAGUAAUUUACAGAUCCGAAUCUA